CCUGUGCCAAUAAAGAAAUGGGUCAUUACUACACGGGUGGAGCGCUCUAUGUGGUGAGUGUUACUGUACAGGUGGAGCGCUCUGUGUGGCGAGUGUUACUGUACAGGUGGAGCGCUCUGUGUGGUGAGUGUUACUGUACAGGUGGAGCGCUCUGUGUGGUGACUGUUACUGUACAGGUGGAGCGCUCUGUGUGGUGAGUGUUACUGUACAGGUGGAGCGCUCUGUGUGGUGACUGUUACUGUACAGGUGGAGCGCUCUGUGUGGUGGGUGUUACUGUACAGGUGGAGCGCUCUCUGUAGUGGGUGUUACUGUACAGGUGGAGCGCUCUGUGUGGUGAGUGUUACUGUACAGGUGGAGCACUCUCUGUAGUGGCUGUUGCUGUACAGAUGGAGCGCUCUGUGUAAUGGGUGUUACUGUACAGAUGGAGCGCUCUCUGUGUGGUGGGUGUUACUGUACAGGUGGAGCGCUCUCUGUAGUGGGUGUUACUGUACAGGUGGAGUGCUCUCUGUAGUGGGUGUUACUGUACAGAUGGAACACUCUCUGUAGUGGGUGUUACUGUACAGGUGAACACUCUCUGUAGUGGGUGUUACUGUACAGGUGGAGUGCUCUGUGUGGUGAGUGUUACUGUACAGGUGGAGCGCUCUGUGUAGUGGGUAUUACUGUACAGAUGGAACACUCUCUGUAGUGGGCGUUACUGUACAGAUGGAGCGCUCUGUGUAGUGGGUGUUACUGUACAGGUCGAGCGCUCUCUGUAGUGGGUGUUCCUGUACAGUGGAGCUCUCUGUGUGGUGGGUGUUACUGUACAGAUGGAACACUCUGUAGUGGGUGUUACUGUACAGUGGAGCUCUCUGUGUGGUGGGCGUUACUGUACAGAUGGAACACUCUGUAGUGGGUGUUACUGUACAGUGGAGCGCUCUGUGUGGUGGGUGUUACUGUAUAAGUGGAGCGCUCUCUGUAGUGGGUGUUACUCUACAGAUGGAGCGCUCUGUGUAGUGGGUGUUACUGUACAGAUGGCGCGCUCUGUGUAGUGGGUGUUACUGUACAGAUGGAACACUCUCUGUAGUGGGUGUUACUAUACAGUGGAGCGCUCUGUGUGGUGGGUGUUACUGUACAGAUGGAGCGCUCUGUGUGGUGGAUGUUACUGUACAGGUGGAGCGCUCUCUGUGACUUAAAUACUGUAUUUUCAAACAGGUGGGGGGGUGUGGGGAAUAUUACUAUAUGAGUGCAUGAUGAUGUUACAGUAUAGGUGGAGCACUUUCUGUGUCAUGGAUAUUAUUUUACACAGAGGUCUGUAUGUGGUGAAUAUUACUGUACAACUUGGACAUAUUAAUGUACAGGACGCUCUGUGUGGCGGAUGCUAGUAUACAGGUACAGUGCUCUGCGUGUGGUGGGUAUUACUGCAGAGGUGGAAUUUUGUGUGUGGUGUAUAUUACUGUACAGGUGGAGCGCUGUGUGUGGUUAGUACUUCUGUGGAGGUGAAGCACUAUCUGUUUUGGAUAUUACUGUACAGGUGGGGCACUGUGUGUGGUGUAUAUUACUGUACAGGUGGGGCACUGUGUGUGGUGUAUAUUACUGUACAGGUGGGGCACUGUGUGUGGUGUAUAUUACUGUACAGGUGGGGCACUAUGUGUGGUGUAUAUUAUUGUACAGGUGGAGCGCUGUGUGUGGUUAGUACUUCUGUGGAGGUGAAGCACUAUCUGUCUUGGAUAUUACUGUACAGGUGGGGCACUGUGUGUGGUGUAUAUUACUGUACAGGUGGGGCACUGUGUGUGGUGUAUAUUACUGUACAGGUGGGGCACUGUGUGUGGUGUAUAUUACUGUACUGGUGGGGCACUAUGUGUGGUGUAUAUUACUGUACAGGUGGAGCGCUGUGUGUGGUUAGUACUUCUGUGGAGGUGAAGCACUAUCUGUCUUGGAUAUUACUGUACAGGUGGGGUACUGUGUGUGGUGUAUAUUACUGUACAGGCGGGGCACUGUGUGUGGUGUAUAUUACUGUACAGGUGGGGCACUGUGUGUGGUGUAUAUUACUGUACAGGCGGGGUACUGUGUGUGGUGUAUAUUACUGUACAGGCAGGGCACUGUGUGUGGUGUAUAUUACUGUACAGGUGGGGUACUGUGUGUGGUGUAUAUUACUGUACAGGCGGGGCACUGUGUGUGUGUAUAUUACUGUACAGGCGGGGCAUUGUGUGUGUGUAUAUUACUGUACAGGCGGGGCACUGUGUGUGGUGUAUAUUACUGUACAAGCGGGGCACUGUGUGUGUGGUUAGGCACAUCUGUCUUGGGUAUUAUCGUACAGGUGGGGCACUGUGUGUGGUGUAUAUUACUGUACAGGCGGGGCACUGUGUGUGUGGUUAGUACUUCUGUGGAGAUGAAGCACUAUCUGUCUUGGAUAUUAUCGUACAGGCGGGGCAUUGUGUGUGGUGUAUACUACUGUACAGGCGGGGCACUGUGUGUGGUUUAUAUUACUGUACAGGCGGGGCACUGUGUGUGGUGUAUAUUACUGUACAGGCGGGGCACUGUGUGUGUGGUUAGGCACAUCUGUCUUGGAUAUUACUGUACAGAUGGGGCACUGUGUGUGGUGGAUUUUACUAUGAGUGCAUGGUGACAUUUCUGUACAGGUGGAGAAGUCUGUGCAUGAUGGUUUUACAGUACAGUUUGAUUACUCAGAAGUGGAUAUUACUAUACAGGAAUAUCCCACAGAAUAGGAGGUAUAUGGAAUUUUCAAGUUGAUAUGUAUACUUAGCCCUAUAUAGGUAGAUAAUAUAUGCCCUGGCCUCUGUGUAUUACUAUGCAGCACAACUGUAGUAAGCAUGUGCCAUGUGCUGACCCUUACAUUACUUGGCCCCACAGUGGUAAUAAGAAGGAUAAGAUCUUCCCCUUAAGGACAUGGUGACAGACAAAACGGUGAGUCAUAGUGACACUGACCCCCUACAGGACAUGUCAAGAACC